AGAGUUUGAUCCUGGCUCAGGAUGAACGCUAGCGACAGGCUUAACACAUGCAAGUCGAGGGGCAGCGGGGGAGCAGCAAUGCUCCCGCCGGCGACCGGCGCACGGGUGAGUAACACGUAUGGAACCUGCCCGCAGCAGGGGGAUAAGCGGAAGAAAUUCCGUCUAAUACCGCGUAACACCGCGGAGGGGCAUCCCUCGGCGGUUAAAGAUUCAUCGGCUGCGGAUGGCCAUGCGGCGCAUUAGCUAGUCGGCGGGGUAACGGCCCACCGAGGCGACGAUGCGUAGGGGUUCUGAGAGGAAGGUCCCCCACACUGGUACUGAGACACGGACCAGACUCCUACGGGAGGCAGCAGUGAGGAAUAUUGGUCAAUGGCCGGGAGGCUGAACCAGCCAAGUCGCGUGAGGGAAGACGGCCCUACGGGUUGUAAACCUCUUUUGUCAGGGAGCAAGAGGCGGGUCGGGACCUGCUGUGAGAGUACCCGAAGAAAAAGCAUCGGCUAACUCCGUGCCAGCAGCCGCGGUAAUACGGAGGAUGCGAGCGUUAUCCGGAUUUAUUGGGUUUAAAGGGUGCGCAGGCGGAGGCACAAGUCAGCGGUAAAAUCGCGGGGCUCAACCCCGCUCCGCCGUUGAAACUGUGUCCCUUGAGUGCGCGAAGGGUAGGCGGAAUGCGUGGUGUAGCGGUGAAAUGCAUAGAUAUCACGCAGAACUCCGAUCGCGAAGGCAGCCUACCGGCGCGCAACUGACGCUCAUGCACGAAAGCGUGGGUAUCGAACAGGAUUAGAUACCCUGGUAGUCCACGCAGUAAACGAUGAAUGCUAUCUGUCCGGCCGGAAUGACGGCUGGGUGGCACAGCGAAAGCGUUAAGCAUUCCACCUGGGGAGUACGCCGGCAACGGUGAAACUCAAAGGAAUUGACGGGGGCCCGCACAAGCGGAGGAACAUGUGGUUUAAUUCGAUGAUACGCGAGGAACCUUACCCGGGCUCAAACGACACAGGGAUGCCGCCGAAAGGUGGCAGUCCUUCGGGACCUGUGUCGAGGUGCUGCAUGGUUGUCGUCAGCUCGUGCCGUGAGGUGUCGGCUUAAGUGCCAUAACGAGCGCAACCCCCAUCUUCAGUUGCCAUCAGGUAGAGCUGGGCACUCUGGAGAGACUGCCGGCGCAAGCUGCGAGGAAGGCGGGGAUGACGUCAAAUCAGCACGGCCCUUACGUCCGGGGCUACACACGUGUUACAAUGGCAGGUACAGAGGGCAGCUACCCAGCGAUGGGAUGCGAAUCUCGAAAGCCUGUCUCAGUUCGGAUUGGAGGCUGAAACCCGCCUCCAUGAAGUUGGAUUCGCUAGUAAUCGCGCAUCAGCCAUGGCGCGGUGAAUACGUUCCCGGGCCUUGCACACACCGCCCGUCAAG
rnacentral:rRNA from 1 species